GGAACAAUUUAGAAUGAUGCAGCGUAAACUACAGUAAAGUCUGAACAUUAAAGCAUAAAGAAACAAAAUCCACAACUUAUUCUGCCAAAUACAAAUAGUACACAUCUUAUUUUACUAAGCGUGUUGACCGUACUCUUCAUACACACAAAAAUCGGCACCCAAGGCCUGAAAUGCCAACUCUAGUAUACCUAUUCUAUGUAAUAAAUAUUUUUUAAGUAUA